AAAAACAAAACGGCACCGCGGGUGGCACGUGGACAAAGCAACGCAAGCUGUCGCACUCAGCUUCGCUGCCGCCGCUGCAUCAGAAGAAACAGGCGGCGGGCGGCGGAGACAAAACGGUGGUAGUCGGCGAAUUUGACUCGACGGUUGGCGCGGUGAUAAUAUCGGUGACUUUGGUAGUGAUGAUAAUUUGGGGGUAAAGUUUGGGCGAUUUUGUGUAUGGCAGCUUGGUUUUACUUCAUACCUCGAUUUAGAGCAAAAAUGGACGAAUCAUACGCGAUUAAAUUCAAGAGCGGCGAAAGCGACGCUGUUGAUUUUGAUUCGUGGAGUAUAAGAAAAGGGUUGUUUUGCAAGGAUUGCUCCAUCGAAAUCAAACCCUAUGACUGCGAGUUUUGUGUUUUAGAUACUGUGGUGUAAUUUAUCUAUACUUUUUUUUUCGUUUAAUUUUGAUCCAGUCUGUUUAAAAUUGGGUGUUUUUUCUUUUCUUUCUUUUUUCAAGAUAAUUGUAUACAUGUUAGGAGUGUUUUUUUUUUUUUUUUAAUCAUAUAGUAUAUAUCUAUAUUUGAAUUACGUAUUUCAAAUAUGAUGUGUCGGAAAUGAUUUUGAUGCUCUGUUGCCAAUGAUAUUUAUAUUUUGUACUCUAUUAUAAAAGUAUUGGGUGAAUUUAGUUUACGAGUGACCAUUUGCUUUUUACCUUUUU
rnacentral:lncRNA from 1 species